GAUGAACGCUAGCGGCGUGCCUAAUACAUGCAAGUCGAGCGAACAGAUAAGGAGCUUGCUCCUUUGAAGUUAGCGGCGGACGGGUGAGUAACACGUGGGUAACCUACCUAUAAGACUGGGAUAACUUCGGGAAACCGGUGCUAAUACCGGAUAACAUUUAGAACCGCAUGGUUCUAAAGUGAAAGAUGGUUUUGCUAUCACUUAUAGAUGGACCCGCGCCGUAUUAGCUAGUUGGUAAGGUAACGGCUUACCAAGGCGACGAUACGUAGCCGACCGGAGAGGGCGAGCGGCCACAAGGGAACUGAGACACGGUCCAGACUCCGACGGGAGGCAUCAGUAGGGAAUCUUCCGCAAUGGGCGAAAGCCUGACGGAGCAACGCCGCGUGAGUGAUGAAGGGUUUCGGCUCGUAAAACUCUGUUAUUAGGGAAGAACAAAUGUGUAAGUAACUGUGCACAUCUUGACGGUACCUAAUCAGAAAGCCACGGCUAACUACGUGCCAGCAGCCGCCGCCG
rnacentral:rRNA from 1 species